GUUGUAUGGUUAAGUGAUUAAGCGUAGACGGUGGAUGCCUUGGCAGUCAGAGGCGAUGAAGGACGUACUAACCUGCGAAAAGCGAUGGUGAGCUGGUAAGAAGCAUUUGAGCCAUCGAUGUCCGAAUGGGGAAACCCACCUGCAUAAGCAGGUAUCUUAGUGUGAAUACAUAGCGACUAACCUGCGAAAAGCGAUGGUGAGCUGGUAAGAAGCAUUUGAGCCAUCGAUGUCCGAAUGGGGAAACCCACCUGCAUAAGCAGGUAUCUUAGUGUGAAUACAUAGCGCUAAGAGGCGAACUCGGGGAACUGAAACAUCUAAGUACCCGAAGGAAAAGAAAUCAAUUGAGAUUCCGGCAGUAGCGGCGAGCGAACCCGGAGCAGCCCUUAAGCGGCUUAGGCGUUAGGUGAACAGGUUGGAAAACCUGGCAAUAAAGGGUGAUAGCCCCGUAACCGACGGCGCCUUAGACGUGAAAACGAGUAGGACGGGACACGUGAUAUCUUGUCUGAACAUGGGGGGACCAUCCUCCAAGGCUAAAUACUCCUGACUGACCGAUAGUGAACCAGUACCGUGAGGGAAAGGCGAAAAGAACCCCUGUGAGGGGAGUGAAAUAGAACCUGAAACCGUCUACGUACAAGCAGUGGGAGCCUCCUUUGUGGGGUGACCG
rnacentral:rRNA from 1 species